rnacentral:rRNA from 1 species
GACAGAGGCCUCAAGCGUUAGGCGGAAUCACUGGGCUUAAAGCGCGUGUAGGCGGUCCGGUAAGUCCGCUGUGAAAGUCGGGGGCUCAACCCUCGGAUGCCGGUGGAUACUGUCGGGCUUGAGUACGGAAGAGGCGAGUGGAAUUCCUGGUGUAGCGGUGAAAUGCGCAGAUAUCAGGAGGAACACCAAUUGCGAAGGCAGCUCGCUGGGACGUUACUGACGCUGAGACGCGAAAGCGUGGGGAGCAAACAGG